rnacentral:rRNA from 1 species
GUAUACCUACGGGAGGCAGCAGUGGGGGAUAUUGCACAAUGGGGGAAACCCUGAUGCAGCGACGCCGCGUGUGGGAAGACGGUCUUUUGGAUUGUAAACCACUGUCCCCAGGGACGAAAAUGACGGUACCUGGGGAGGAAGCUCCGGCUAACUACGUGCCAGCAGCCGCGGUAAUACGUAGGGAGCAAGCGUUGUCCGGAAUUACUGGGUGUAAAGGGAGCGUAGGCGGGGAUGCAAGUUGGGUGUCAAAACUACCGGCUCAACCGAUAGUCGCACUCAAAACUGCCGCUCUUGAGUGAAGUAGA